UAGAGUUUGAUCCUGGCUCAGAAUCAACGCUGGCGGCGCGCUUAACACAUGCAAGUCGCACGAGAAAGUGGAGCAAUCCAUGAGUACAGUGGCGUACGGGUGAGUAACACGUGGAUGAUCUACCUCUUAGUGGGGAAUAACCCUGGGAAACCGGGGCUAAUACCGCAUAAUCUCGAGAGAGGAAAGCAGCAAUGCGCUGAGAGAGGAGUCCGCGGCCGAUUAGCUAGUUGGGAGGGUAAGAGCCUACCAAGGAGGAGAUCGGUAGCCGGCCUGAGAGGGCACACGGCCACACUGGCACUGAAACACGGGCCAGACUCCUACGGGAGGCAGCAGUGGGGAAUCUUGCACAAUGGGGGAAACCCUGAUGCAGCGACGCCGCGUGAGCGAUGAAGCCCUUCGGGGUGUAAAGCUCUUUCGGCAGGGAAGAUGA
rnacentral:rRNA from 1 species